rnacentral:lncRNA from 1 species
GCCUUCUUUGCCUCUCUGAGUCCUACAAAGAAAGAAGGAAAGAAAAAGGAAUAUACAGAAGACUUUAAAAGAGAAAGAAUUAUGAGAAUAGGAUAAAAAAAAACCUCUCCUCUUUCAUUAGGCAUGGAUCGGGAUGAGGAUGGCUUGCUCGUCCACUUGCCAAAGCAAUUUAAGGCAAAUGCAAAAUCUCUUGAGUUGUCCACACAGAAGUCUCUUCAAUGUUGUGCGGGAUUUCCCAUUGCUCCAAUUUCCACCGUGCCCCCCGGUGGUGAUAUUUUUGACUCUUGUUCUGUUUCAAUCCUGUCAUCUGUGGAUGAAAUAAUGCUCCCCUCGCUAGAACCACAGGAGAGACGGUUCUGGCGUCUGCUGCAUACUGUGUCCAUUCCUGUGCUGCCCGCAGACUAUGAAACCCUCAAUCACCAUGGUGAAUUUCCACUUGGAAGAUCUGUUGUCCUGUCUUCACUGUGAUGUCUUGGCAUCACUCGAGGUACUGUCAUCAUAGGAAAACACCUGGAUUUGGAUUCAAAGACAAAGCUGUUUAUAAAACCAGUUGUGCAAUUACUUCUGUUGCCUUGUCCCUAUCUAUAACAGCUGUUCUGGAAAGUACUGCAUUUGCUUCCCACAUUUAAUUAGUCACUAAUGACCAACACGGGCUAUAAAUGAGUUCUUUGCCCAUUGUUGAUGAUUCAGGUCAAGCACGGCAGAUGGUCCCUUAUGCUGAAUUCUCCAACAAG